GAUGAACGCUGGCGGCGUGCCUAAUACAUGCAAGUCGAGCGAACGGACGAGAAGCUUGCUUCUCUGAUGUUAGCGGCGGACGGGUGAGUAACACGUGGAUAACCUACCUAUAAGACUGGGAUAACUUCGGGAAACCGGAGCUAAUACCGGAUAAUAUUUUGAACCGCAUGGUUCAAAAGUGAAAGACGGUCUUGCUGUCGCUUAUAGAUGGAUCCGCGCUGCAUUAGCUAGUUGGUAAGGUAACGGCUUACCAAGGCAACGAUGCAUAGCCGACCUGAGAGGGUGAUCGGCCACACGGGAACUGAGACACGGUCCAGACUCCUACGAGAGGCAGCAGAAGGGAAUCUUCCGCAGUGGGCGAAAGCCUGACGGAGCAACGCCGCGUGAGUGAUGAAGGUCUUCGGAGCGUAAAACUCUGUUAUUAGGGAAGAACAUAUGUGUAAGUAACUGUGCACAUCUUGACGGUACCUAAUCAGAAAGCCACGGCUAACUACGUG
rnacentral:rRNA from 1 species